GCAGCAGUGGGGGAUAUUGGACAAUGGGCGGAAGCCUGAUCCAGCGACGCCGCGUGGAGGACGAAGCCCUUCGGGGUGUAAACUCCUUUUGUCGGGAAAAAGGACUGAUGGUACCCGACGAAUAAGCCCCGGCUAACUACGUGCCAGCAGCCGCGGUAAUACGUAGGGGGCGAGCGUUACCCGGAAUCACUGGGCGUAAAGGGUGCGUAGGCGGCCGCGUGUGUCUGGCGUAAAAUACCACGGCUCAACCGUGGGAAUGCGCUGGAAACUACGUGGCUUGGGUGCGGCAGAGGCAGACGGAACUGCUGGUGUAGGGGUGAAAUCCGUAGCUAUCAGCAGGAACGCCGGUGGAGAAGUCGGUCUGCUGGGCCGUAACCGACGCUGAGGCACGAAAGCUAGGGGAGCGAACCGGAUUAGAUACCCGGGUAGUCCUAGCCGUAAACGAUGCUCACUAGGUGUGGGGGCGGAAGUCUCCGUGCUGAAGCUAAACGC
rnacentral:rRNA from 1 species